rnacentral:rRNA from 1 species
CAUGCAAGUCGAACGCCCCGCAAGGGGAGUGGCAGACGGGUGAGUAACGCGUGGGAAUCUACCCAAUUCUUCGGAACAACACAUGGAAACGUGUGCUAAUACCGAAUGAGCCCUUCGGGGGAAAGAUUUAUCGGAAUUGGAUGAGCCCGCGUUGGAUUAGCUAGUUGGUGGGGUAAAGGCCUACCAAGGCGACGAUCCAUAGCUGGUCUGAGAGGAUGAUCAGCCACACUGGGACUGAGACACGGCCCAGACUCCUACGGGAGGCAGCAGUGGGGAAUAUUGGACAAUGGGCGCAAGCCUGAUCCAGCCAUGCCGCGUGAGUGAUGAAGGUCUUAGGAUUGUAAAGCUCUUUCACCGGUGAAGAUAAUGACGGUAACCGGAGAAGAAGCCCCGGCUAACUUCGUGCCAGCAGCCGCGGUAAUACGAAGGGGGCUAGCGUUGUUCGGAUUUACUGGGCGUAAAGCGCACGUAGGCGGACUUUUAAGUCAGGGGUGAAAUCCCGGGGCUCAACCCCGGAACUGCCUUUGAUACUGGAAGUCUUGAGUUCGAGAGAGGUGAGUGGAAUUGCGAGUGUAGAGGUGAAAUUCGUAGAUAUUCGCAGGAACACCAGUGGCGAAGGCGGCUCACUGGCUCGAUACUGACGCUGA